ACUUGAUGAUGUGGACAUUUAUGUAGAAGGUCCUUGAAACGCUCCCAAGUCUCGAAGGAUUGCUCACCAUCUAUCUGGGUAAAACUAGUGAUGGCCUUCCUAAGCU